CGCAAUGAAGACAGAGUCAAGAAUUGCCCGGAAAGCCCUCAGAGUUGGCUUCAAGGAGGCCUCUCUAAAGGACAAAAGAUGGAUGGCUGGGUGUCAAGGUGCCCUAAAUGGUCCUAGGAUGUGCCCUCGCACUUCCUGUUAACCUGCCGCCAAGUUUCCAGACCAUUCACUUCCCUUGGCAGGGUGGGGCUCCCUUCCGAUCCUGACCUUCUUGGUAAGGUCUUGGCACAAUACCAUAUGGACCUGGACAAAAUUUGUUAAGAAACACUGAAAGGAAAUGUUAGCUAAGCUAGAUGAAGACUCCAAGUGGUCAGCUUGCUGUUUGGUGCCUUCAGAGGAAUUGAAUAAGAGGAUGUGUGUGAAAGAAGAAAGAAAGGUGUGAAAUUGGAGGAUAUGGUCCCAUCAUCUCAGAUUAUAACAAACUACCUCCCUGGUAGCUGAAAUCCAUGAGACACCUUUGCCAAAAGCAAAUAAAUUAUUUAC